UACGUAGGGUGCAAGCGUUAAUCGGAAUUACUGGGCGUAAAGCGUGCGCAGGCGGUUCGCUAAGACAGAUGUGAAAUCCCCGGGCUUAACCUGGGAACUGCAUUUGUGACUGCAUCGCUGGAGUGCGGCAGAGGGGGAUGGAAUUCCGCGUGUAGCAGUGAAAUGCGUAGAUAUCGGGAGGAACACCAGUGGCGAAGGCGACUACCUGGCCUGUUCUUGACGCUGAGGCGCGAAAGCUAGGGGAGCAAACGGG
rnacentral:rRNA from 1 species